GAUGGUAGUGUAUUGGACUACCAUGGCAAUCACGGGUAACGGGGAAUUAGGGUUCGAUUCCGGAGAGGGAGCCUGAGAAACGACUACCACAUCUAAGGAAGGCAGCAGGCGCGUAAAUUACCCAAUCCUGACUCAGGGAGGUAGUGACAAGAAAUAACAACUCGGGGGCGCAAGCCUUACGAGAUUGCAAUGAGAGUAAUCUAACAGACCUUAUCGAGGAACAAUUGGAGGGCAAGUCUGGUGCCAGCAGCCGCGGUAAUA
rnacentral:rRNA from 1 species